rnacentral:rRNA from 1 species
GAUGAACGCUGGCGGCGUGCCUAACACAUGCAAGUCGAGCGAACAGACGAGGAGCUUGCUCCUCUGACGUUAGCGGCGGACGGGUGAGUAACACGUGGAUAACCUACCUAUAAGACUGGGAUAACUUCGGGAAACCGGAGCUAAUACCGGAUAAUCUAUUGAACCGCAUGGUUCAAUAGUGAAAGACGGUUUUGCUGUCACUUAUAGAUGGAUCCGCGCCGCAUUAGCUAGUUGGUAAGGUAACGGCUUACCAAGGCAACGAUGCGUAGCCGACCUGAGAGGGUGGUCGGCCACACGGGAACUGAGACACGGUCCAGACUCCUACGGGAGGCAGCAGUAGGGAAUCUUCCGCAAUGGGCGAAAGCCUGACGGAGCAACGCCGCGUGAGUGAUGAAGGUCUUCGGAUCGUAAAACUCUGUUAUUAGGGAAGAACAAAUGUGUAAGUAACUAUGCACGUCUUGACGGUACCUAAUCAAAAAGCCACGGCUAACUACGUG